CACAAACGGAGAGCUAUCAACUUAGCUCUAGUUUAAAUAGCUUCUGGGUCUAUAUAGGUGACCCAAACCCUUCUCACGAUAUAUUCCUGAGGUCUGUGAAUAAAUGGAAAUAUACAAAAUUGCGCAAUAUCGUUUGUAAUAUCCCAGAGCAAAUAUAUAUAGUCUUUAAGUGGGUACUCACAAGGAUGGAGUCAAAAUAUAUUGACUCAAUAUUAUGGCGUUGUGCAAAUUCGGGACUGCACUCCCCAUUCAAUAUAACGAUAUCAGGAA